rnacentral:rRNA from 1 species
AUACGGAAGGUCCGGGCGUUAUCCGGAUUUAUUGGGUUUAAAGGGAGCGCAGGCGGAGAUGCAAGCGUGACGUCAAAUUUCGGGGCUCAACCCCGUCUCGCGUCGCGAACUGCGUCCCUUGGUUGCGGGAAGGGGAGGCGGAACUCGUGGUGUAGCGGUGGAAUGCAUAGAUAUCACGAAGAACUCCGAACGCGAAGGCAGCCUUCCGGCCCGUCAACGACGCUCAUGCUCGAAGGUGCGGGUAUCAAACAGGAUUAGAUACCCUGGUAGUCCGCACAGUAAACGAUGGACACCCGCGGUUUGGCCUGUAUGGCUGAGCCGCCAAGCGAAAGCGUUAAGUGUCCCACCUGGGGAGUACGCCGGCAACGGUGAAACUCAAAGGAAUUGACGGGG